rnacentral:rRNA from 1 species
UCGCCUGUUUAUCAAAAACAUGGUUUCUUGAAAUAGUUAUAAGAGAUUUAACCUGCCCGCUGAAAAGUUUUGUUGAAGGGCCGCAGUAUUUUGACUGUGCAAAGGUAGCAUAAUUAUUAGUCUUUUAAUUGAAGGCUUGUAUGAAUGGUUGAACGAGACAAAUUCUGUUUUAUAUUAAUUAUAUUUGAAUUUGUAUUUUAAGUUAAAAUACUUAAAUUUUAUUAAGGGACGAGAAGACCCUAUAGAGUUUAAUAUAUAAAGUUUUAAUUGAGUUAAAGGAGCAAUUUUUGGUUAAUUAUGUAGUAUAUUUAAUUGGGGUGAUUGAAAGAUAAUUGAAACUCUUUUUUGAAGUUUAUAUUGUAGAUAGUUAUAAGAUCCAUUAAUUAAUGAUUAUAAGAUUAAAUUACCUUAGGGAUAACAGCAUAAUUCUUUUUGAGAGUUCAUAUCGAAAAAGGAGCUUGUGACCUCGAUGUUGGAUUAAGAUUAAUUUUAGGUGUAGAUGUUUAAUUAUUAGGUCUGUUCGACCUUUAAUUUCUUACAUGAUCUGAGUUCAAACCGGAGA